UCAGCAACACUAAUGUUACUUUCUGCCGUGUAACUUUCAUUUUUGCAGUUGAGCAGGAGAAAGCUUUCGAUUAGGCCUACGUCAAUUUGAAGACAAUUUAUAAUCUUCCAGCGCGAUGGUCACCUACAACUAGUUUCAGGAGGAGUCGAUAGAUUUAUUGAUUUUCUUUUUUACCAGGCGACAUUAUUACCCUAAUGUUUUAGUGUAGAAAAUCCAUUCACUUUUAACGAAUGUGUUAUUUUGACUUUGCACCUCUCAUGCUUUCCAAAAGCACUGUCUUUUGGACAAGCCUGUUGUGUCUCUCGCUGUUUCCAGAUGAAUGUCUGACCAGGACUCUGACUGCACACAUUGGUGAAUCAGUGCUCUUCAAUGUGUCCUGCUCUCCAAGUGAACAACCGUACAUCUCUGUCUGGCAGAGGAAUGAAACUGUUGUCUAUAACUUCGGAUCCGAAAGAUUUCCUGAUACCCAUUACAAUGACAGGACUCAGAUGUUUCUGGAAAAGCAUAAACAAAAUUGCUCCCUGGUCAUAACUAACAUAUUGCUAUCAGAUGAAGGAACAUACAAAUUAUUUUACAAACGUACUGAUAGUACUGAUGCAGAUUCCCUGAUCAGCCCUGAAUUUGUUCUCAAGGUUCUGUCUCCUGCCUCAGCAGUCACCAGUAAUCAGAAGACUCUUCCUCCUGAAGCAGUGCCCAUCAUUGGACCUGUUGUUGGUGCCAUGGCCACUCUGCUAGGAUUGGCGAUGGUAUUACUGUUAACACGAAGGAGGUGUCACCACUAGCAAAUGAUCUCGGAGCAGAUAAGGAUGCAGCUCGUGCCACUCCAACCAACCGACCAGAACCAAGACAACAGGUCUGGUCAUCACGACUAGAUCCUGAAACACAUCUGCACACACACCUGCACGCACACACAAACUCACGCCGAAUCAAGUAUUGAUCUUCAUGAAAGAUCUGAAAUCCCUGAGAAAUCAUCUCUUUUAUAGCAUAACUGUCAUAAUUCAAUAUCAAUAUGCAUGGUGAUGUUCAUUUCUCUUUUAUAUACAUUGUAUUUCCAAACUGUGAUUUAUUUCAAUCUUUACACUAUUACUGUAAUCCCCAAAGUGAUUUAAAAGACAUAAUAAAUCCUACGUUUUAUAUCA